AACGUAGGUCCCGAGCGUUAUCCGGAUUUACUGGGCGUAAAGCGUGUUCAGGCGGUCUAGCAAGUCGGGCAUGAAAUCUCUCGGCUCAACCGGGAGGGGUUGUCCGAUACUGCUGGGCUUGAGGGCAGCAGAGGGUGGUGGAAUUCCGGAUGUAGUGGUGAAAUGCGUAGAUAUCCGGAGGAACACCAGUGGCGAAGGCGGCCACCUGGGCUGUACCUGACGCUCAAACACGAAAGCUAGGGGAGCGAACGGG
rnacentral:rRNA from 1 species